UAGAGGAAGUAAAAGUCGUAACAAGGUUUCCGUAGGUGAACCUGCGGAAGGAUCAUUAGCGAAAGCGUCCGUCGAGAUGGGUUGUAGCUGGCCGUGUYAGGCGCGUGCACGCCCGGAUCGCGCGGACUUUACCCUUUACACCUGUGCACGCCCUCUGUAGCUUUGAGACGCUGACGAACGUUGUGAUCGUUCGGAUGCGCCCUUCUGGCUGCGAGCCUUUUUAUYCUCACAUACCAAUAUCAGAAUGUAACUUGUAGCGGCGCGUAAAAGCGCUGAAAUAUACAACUUUCAGCAACGGAUCUCUUGGCUCUCGCAUCGAUGAAGAACGCAGCGAAAUGCGAUAAGUAAUGUGAAUUGCAGAAUUCAGUGAAUCAUCGAAUCUUUGAACGCACCUUGCGCUCCUUGGUAUUCCGAGGAGCAUGCCUGUUUGAGUGUCAUGAAGUUCUCAACCGCCUUUGYCGGGUUCGUUUACGUUCUCGAAGRGGGUGGAGUUGGAUUUGGAGGAUGAUGUUGCUGGCGCUCUUUGAUGAGCUUUGUCGGCUCCUCUCGAAUGCAUCUGUGCACUAUUGUGAAGCGGCUCCGACGUGAUAACUAUCUACGUUGGCUGUCGCGUUGCUUUGGGCACGAACACGGAUUCGCGUCUUUGACCAAUUCGACCUCAAAUCAGGUAGGACUACCCGCUGAACUUAAGCAUAUCAAUA
rnacentral:rRNA from 1 species